AGUAAAUAGAUACCCUGGUAGUCCACGCCGUAAACGAUGUCGACUUGGAGGUUGUGCCCUUGAGGCGUGGCUUCCGGAGCUAAACGCGUUAAGUCGACCGCCUGGGGAGUACGGCCGCAAGGUUAAAACUCAAAUGAAUUGACGGGGGCCCGCACAAGCGGUGGAGCAUGUGGUUUAAUUCGAUGCAACGCGAAGAACCUUACCUACUCUUGACAUCCAGAGAACUUAGCAGAGAUGCUUUGGUGCCUUCGGGAACUCUGAGACAGGUGCUGCAUGGCUGUCGUCAGCUCGUGUUGUGAAAUGUUGGGUUAAGUCCCGCAACGAGCGCAACCCUUAUCCUUUGUUGCCAGCGGUUAGGCCGGGAACUCAAAGGAGACUGCCAGUGAUAAACUGGAGGAAGGUGGGGAUGACGUCAAGUCAUCAUGGCCCUUACGAGUAGGGCUACACACGUGCUACAAUGGCGCAUCAAAGAGAAGCGACCUCGCGAGAGCAAGCGGACCUCAUAAAGUGCGUCGUAGUCCGGAUU
rnacentral:rRNA from 1 species